rnacentral:rRNA from 1 species
UUUGGUGACUCUGGAUAACUCACUGGUCGAUCGCACGGGCUUCACGCCCGGCGACGGGUCCCUCGAGGGUCCGCCCUAUCAACU